rnacentral:rRNA from 1 species
CGGGAGGCAGCAGUGGGGAAUAUUGGACAAUGGGCGAAAGCCUGAUCCAGCCAUGCCGCGUGUGUGAAGAAGGCCUUCGGGUUGUAAAGCACUUUCAGUCGUGAGGAAAGGGAUACGGUUAAUACCCGUGUUCUGUGACGUUAGCGACAGAAGAAGCACCGGCUAACUCCGUGCCAGCAGCCGCGGUAAUACGGAGGGUGCAAGCGUUGUCCGGAUUUAUUGGGUUUAAAGGGUACGUAGGUGGGCUAUUAAGUCAGUGGUGAAAGCCUGCAGCUUAACUGUAGAAUUGCCAUUGAUACUGAUAGUCUUGAGUAUGGUCGAGGUAGGCAGAAUUUAUGGUGUAGCGGUGAAAUGCAUAGAUACCAUAAGGAAUACCGAUAGCGAAGGCAGCUUACUGGGCCGUUACUGACACUAAUGUACGAAAGCGUGGGGAGCGAACAGGAUUAGAUACCCUGGUAGUCCACGCCGUAAACGAUGCUCACUCGAUGUUGGCGAUAUACAGUCAGCGUCCAAGCGAAAGCGAUAAGUGAGCCACCUGGGGAGUACGCUCGCAAGAGUGAAACUC